GUGCUUGCUUCAGCAGCACAUACACUUAAAAUUGGAAUGGUACAGAGAAGAUCAGCAUAGCCCAAGCAAGGAUGACAUGGAAAUUCGUGAAGUGCUUUUUUUUUUU
ensembl:snRNA U6 U6 spliceosomal RNA